UACAGGGGGUGCAACCGUUGCUCGGAAUUAUUGGGCGUAAAGGGCUCGUAGGCGGUCUGUCACGUCGGGAGUGAAAACUCAGGGCUUAACCCUGAGCCUGCUUCCGAUACGGGCAGACUAGAGGUAUGCAGGGGAGAACGGAAUUCCUGGUGUAGCGGUGAAAUGCGCAGAUAUCAGGAGGAACACCGGUGGCGAAGGCGGUUCUCUGGGCAUUACCUGACGCUGAGGAGCGAAAGUGUGGGGAGCGAACAGG
rnacentral:rRNA from 1 species